CAGCAGCCGCGGUAAUACGAAGGGGGCUAGCGUUGUUCGGAAUCACUGGGCGUAAAGCGCACGUAGGCGGACUUUUAAGUCAGGGGUGAAAUCCCAAGGCUCAACCUUGGAACUGCCUUUGAUACUGGAAGUCUUGAGUUCGGGAGAGGUGAGUGGAACUGCGAGUGUAGAGGUGAAAUUCGUAGAUAUUCGCAAGAACACCAGUGGCGAAGGCGGCUCACUGGCCCGAUACUGACGCUGAGGUGCGAAAGCGUGGGGAGCAAACAGGAUUAGAUACCCCUGUAGUCCCUGUCUCUUAUAC
rnacentral:rRNA from 1 species